rnacentral:rRNA from 1 species
UACGUAGGGCGCAAGCGUUGUCCGGAAUUAUUGGGCGUAAAGAGCUCGUAGGCGGCCUGUUACGUCUGCUGUGAAAUCCCGGGGCUUAACCCCGGGCGUGCAGUGGAUACGGGCAGGCUGGAGGCAGGCAGGGGAGAACGGGAAUUCCCGGUGUAGCGGUGAAAUGCGCAGAUAUCGGGAGGAACACCGGUGGCGAAGGCGGUUCUCUGGGCCUGUACUGACGCUGAGGAGCGAAAGCGUGGGGAGCGAACAGG